UUCCGAUCCCCGUAACUUCUCCGUCCGAUUUCCGAUUACCGCACCGUUUGCGGUCACGCGUCCACCGCAUCGAGCUGUAUAUUUCUAUCGGAACAAUUUCACUGGAUCCAAUUAGUUUGAGAAAAACGUUCACUCUUACUUAUGUGAGGAUUAGAUAAGGUGAGGAUAUGAUAAAUCUAUUUUAAUUUUAUUAAAUUUGAGCUUUGAGAAUUAAAUUAGAUAUAUAUGUAUUAUGGAUGUGUAUUAGGUUGUGAAUAAAUAAUUGGAGCUCGAAAUUGGGAAUACUGAAACUUGGAGAAAG